AUGAAGAUGAGAGGAAGGAGGGUGUUUGCAGCGCACAGAACAAAAUUGAGUGGCAGACUAGCGACAGAGGUGAUGGCGGCGUGAGUUGACGGCGACCUGGUGGUGCCGGCUGUCGACGGAAGGAGAGGAGAUGGAAGAUGUGAAGGGCGGACAUAUUAAAAAGAGCUGAAACGGUCUGGGUGUUUAAAGAAGAAGAGGAUGAAGACUGAUAAAAAUAGAAUAAUAUAUUAUCAUUUUGUUCAAUUUAAUUCUUUAUUUUAUUUCGUA